UGUAUGACUUAGUCAAGUCUAUGAGGAAAUUAUGUUUUAUUUUUUAUUUUAUUUUAUUGUGAAUUUUCAUAUUGACUACUGAAUGUUGUAUACAGUCGAUGCCUACGAGCCACAUCGGCAAAUAAAUAUAACAGCACAUCACUUUUAUUUUAGUAGCCUAUAUUACUUGCUUUUAAUAACAAAAGUCCAGCUGAUUUAAUGUGGUUAUCUUUUUUUUUAAGGUAAGUACAAUAAAAAUAGCAACUUAUUCCCUUUUUACCAGGAAACUCUCACAUUUGCGGACAUAUUUGAAGUGGUGCUUUGCAAUUUAUUUACUGUAAACACAAGUAUUUUAGCCAAAUAUAAUUUAUGCAAUGGCAAACCAGAAUGAAACAACAGCAGAUAUCAGCUCCCGCUAAAGCAAAAGACGACAACAUGCGUAGGCUACUGCGCAGGUGUAGAGCGCGCGGCCGUCUGCAGGCAACCCUGCAGAGGAGGUUUGCUGGAACGCGACCCUGAGGUGAAAUUUCUUUAAGAGGUUUUAAAAACUUUCUACACUGUGGAGUACGGCUGCGAGUGAUGUUAGCAGGAUCCGCAUGCUGGAUAAGAACAGCAUUUGUGAGACGAAAUCAACUCAUCAUCCGAGUGGACAAGAAGACCAACAGAGGAAGCCAGCCGCAAAAACAACGAAAAAUUGUCAUGACUUUAUUUGAAAUAAAAGUUAUGUGAUAAUAAACA